rnacentral:lncRNA from 1 species
CAUCUUUUUCAGGUAUUGAUAUCAAUUUCACGCUGCCCCAUAUUUUAGGUUUUUGUCACAGAAGCUCUCCAGUUUGGGUUCCAAUAUCAAACAAUUCAAUCUUAGGAGGCUUGGGGCAAGGGAGGGAGCAGGUGCCUGGAGGACAGGAGGGAAUACAAAGUCCUGAUUCACUUUCCGUUCCCCUCCAGCUGCUUAGUGUUGGGCCAGGAAAUUUCCCAGCUUGUCAUCCUAUUGGACAGAAACUUCAGCCAGUUCUUGGGAUUCCAUGUCUAAUGAGUGCCAGGGCUCAUUAAAGCUUCAUUAAUAGUCUCCUGGUUCUUUGGGUUUCUAUUCAGUACAACCGAAAUAGUGCUUAGAUCUGGAGAAAACAGCUACAUCUCUAUGUUUCAUUAGCCUGAGUUCCCUCAAAGGCACAGCUAUAAACAAAGACUUGCAAGGCAACUAAUGUGAUCUCAGGAAUUUGAGGGUGAGGUGGGCUUAACAGGAAAAUAAGGAAAACAAAUUAAAAGAUUCGUUGCUUCAUUACUAACCAGGCUGGGACACCAGUAUUUGAUCCUGUAGGACACUCUGAGAAGGCUUAUGAAAAGCGUGUCAGAACUUGCAGCCCAGGGAAUAGUAUUUAUCCAUUAGCUUCUGUUCCAAUUGGUCAAGAGGAAGUCAUUGAAAUCACUACAUCCCCAUGAGAAGAACACCAGGAUCCAAGAGACAGAUU